AGAAGAACUAUGGACAUGGGAACAUUAGUCGAUUUUAUUGCAGCUGGUUUACCAGAAUUCGUUUUAAAUAAAAUAGAUAGAGAUACAUUAAAAGACACUGUCGAUUUAUUUAAUGAGAUAGAGUUAAAUACCUUAGACACAUCAUACAAAACAACUCAGUCAGACCAAUAAAAGAUAAUUUAAUCUCGAUAAAAAAUUUUCCUACUCCGAAAACGCAAAAGAAUAUCAGGCAGUUUCUAGGAAAAAUAAAUUUUUAUCAUGAAUACAUACCAAGGGAUGCAAUUAUUCUAGACCCUCUCCAUCAUUUGUUAAGAAAAAAUCAAAAAUUUGUUUGGUCUGAAAAUUGUCAAACAGCAUUUAACAAAAUAAAACAACUUUUGUGUACACAACCGAUACUAGAGAUAUUCGAUCAAGAAUUGCCAAUCAAUAUUUACACAGAUGCAUUAAUUGAAGGUAUAGGAGCAAUUUUGAAACAAACUCAACAAAAUGGAGAAGAAAAACCGGUGGCAUAUUUCUUGAAGAAGCUCAACGACGUCCAAAAAAAGAAAAAAGCUAUCUACCUUGAAUGCUUAGCGAUAAAAGAAGCAAUCAGAUAUUAGCAAUAUUGGCUUAUAGGAAAAACAUUUACCGUGUAUUCAGACCAUAAACCACUGUAAAACUUAAAUAUAAAAUCUAGAACAGAUGAAGAAUUAGGUGAGUUAACAUAUUACUUAUCUCAAUACGAUUUUAAAAUAAAAUACAAUCCAGGAAGAAACAACACAGAAGCAGAUUGGCUAAGUAGGAAUCCGGUUCUAGAACCAAAUGAAAACGAAGAAGAACAGUUAAAAAUCGUUAAUUUAAUAAAAUUAGAUGAUAUUUUAAAAAACCAAAGAGAAAAUGAAGAGAUAAAAAGUAUGAAUAAGCUGAUAAAAAAACAAAAUAUAUACUUUCAAAAAGUCAGAAAAAAAGAAAAAAUUAUUUUAUCCGAAGAUUUUAGUGUCAAAUUUAUAAAAAACGUAUAUAAAAAUCUGUGCCACAUAGGGAUAGGACAAA